GAGACCCCCAGCUCCAGGGAGACAAAUGUUAAAAUCAUCACCUCUUGAAAAGCACAGCCAGAACUACUAAUUUCAGAUUUUUCCAUGCAAAGAAAUUGUGCACAUUUUGCUCUAUCCUCAGGCUCCGCCAAGUGCCAUAUGGAGAGGGAUUCAGAAUGCUGCUGUCUACAAAAGAGGAUGAUGGGCAUGAUUGGGCAGUGACUUAAAAUGUCUGGAAGUUCAAUACGGUCCCAUUUCAUAUCCUUACUGACCAGAAGGUGACAUCAACAAGGUUGAGACUCUGCCAACCGGCUGGACUACUGCAAUGCUCUACUUUCCGGCUACCCGGAUAAAGCACUAAAUAAACUUCAGUUAGUGCUAAAUACGGCUGCUAGAAUCCUGACUAGAACCAAAAAGUUUGAUCAUAUUACUCCAGUGCUAGCCUCCCUACACUGGCUUCCUGUUAAGGCAAGGGCUGAUUUCAAGGUUUUACUGCUAACCUACAAAGCAUUACAUGGG
rnacentral:lncRNA from 1 species